rnacentral:rRNA from 1 species
UACGUAGGGCGCGAGCGUUGUCCGGAAUUACUGGGCGUAAAGGGCGCGUAGGCGGUUCGUUAAGUCCUGUGUGAAAUCCCCCGGCUCAACUGGGGAACUGCACAGGAAACUAGCGGGCUUGAGUUCGGGAGAGGGAAGCGGAAUUCCGGGUGUAGCGGUGAAAUGCGUAGAUAUCCGGAGGAACACCGGUGGCGAAGGCGGCUUCCUGGACCGACACUGACGCUGAGGCGCGAAAGCUAGGGGAGCAAACGGG